AAUCAACGCUGGCGGCGUGCCUAACACAUGCAAGUCGAACGAGAAAGUGACUUCGGUCACUGGACAGUGGCGUCCGGGUGAGUAACACGUGGGUAAUCUACCUUCGGGUGGGGAAUAACGUCUCGAAAGAGACGCUAAUACCGCAUAAUGCAGCGGCACCUUAUGGUGAAUAGUUGUUAAAGCGGGGGAUCGCAAGACCUCGCGCCUGAAGAGGAGCCUGCGGCAGAUUAGCUAGUUGGUGAGGUAAUGGCUCACCAAGGCUGCGAUCUGUAGCUGGUCUGAGAGGGCGACCGGCCACACUGGGACUGAGACACGGCCCAGACUCCUACGGGAGGCAGCAGUGGGGAAUCUUGCGCAAUGGGCGAAAGCCUGACGCAGCGACGCCGCGUGAGGGAUGAC
rnacentral:rRNA from 1 species